rnacentral:rRNA from 1 species
UACGAAGGGGGCUAGCGUUGCUCGGAAUCACUGGGCGUAAAGCGCACGUAGGCGGCUUGUUAAGUCAGGGGUGAAAUCCUGGAGCUCAACUCCAGAACUGCCUUUGAUACUGGCGAGCUUGAGUUCGGGAGAGGUGAGUGGAACUGCGAGUGUAGAGGUGAAAUUCGUAGAUAUUCGCAAGAACACCAGUGGCGAAGGCAGCACCCUGGGCCGGUACUGACGCUGAGGAGACGAAAGCGGUGGGGAGCAAACAGG